rnacentral:rRNA from 1 species
GAUGAACGCUAGCGGCAGGCCUAAUACAUGCCAGUCGGACGGGAUUCAGGAGCUUGCUUCUGAUGAGAGUGGCGCACGGGUGUGUAACACGUAUGUAACCUACCUUUAUCAGGGGGAUAGCCUCUCGAAAGAGAGAUUAAGCCCGCAUAAAAUCACAGCACAGCAUUGUGUAAUGAUCAAAUAUUUAUAGGAUAAAGAUGGGCAUGCGGAACAUUAGCUAGAUGGCGGGGUAACGGCCCACCAUGGCGACGAUGUUUAGGGGAUCUGAGAGGAUGGCCCCCCACACUGGUACUGAGACACGGACCAGACUCCUACGGGAGGCAGCAGUAAGGAAUAUUGGUCAAUGGGCGGAAGCCUGAACCAGCCAUGCCGCGUGCAGGAAGACGGCCCUACGGGUUGUAAACUGCUUUUAUACGGGAAUAAACCCAGAUACGUGUAUCUGGCUGAAUGUACUGUAAGAAUAAGGAUCGGCUAACUCCGUG